UGAAAAAAUUGAAUCUGCGGAAAUUGUUUUUUAUAAGUUCAAUUACACUAACUGCCUGCUUAUUUUUAUUAUAUAUCUUCACUAGCGGCUUAAAGCCCAAAAAAUUACUGGAAUUUCAUCAUAAAUGGAGUGAAGUUGCGCUUGAUCCACGUGACGUCAGAUUAACAUCUUCUCGUUAUGAUCAAGGACCAGGAGACAAGAAGGAUCGGCGAUAUGAUACAAUAGCUGGCUCAUAUUAUUUAAGACGGG